ensembl:lncRNA
GGGACUUACAAAAACAGUAACUCGUCAGAAAGCCAACAAUAUAUGUAAUAAACAAUGGCAGGUUUAUAAGACAUCUAGAUUGCUAAACCACAACUUAUCAUUUUAAAAAACAUAUUAUGAAACUCUGUCCUCAAAUGACUGAUCUGAUCACAUCUGCACCGAGGACAGCAUACUGAUUAAAGAUAUCACCGGGAUCAGAGUACACCAGGUGCCCUUGGCAAGACAGAUAAGCUGCAGUAAUAUGAUUACACGUCCUGCAUUGUGCAACCCGUGACUCAACCUCUAAUUACAGCUGUGCUGCACUGUUUGCAGGUAAACUGCGGCUCAGGACGCUCUGAAUGGAGUCCAGGAAGCCCGUAAUUUUACAUGUGUCCUUUGCACCACGCUUGUGACUCGGGUGGAAAUGGGUGUCAAAGGUGAGCGCAAAUCUGACAAAUACAGAAAUACAGACAGCAGGUCAAGGACGGCAGGUAGUUCAAGAAGUGAUUAUCUCAGUGGAAAAAUGGUCCAGAUGUCUCCUGCAUCCCUGCAGAUUCAUGUUCUCUUUUUUUUUAAGUAUCACAGCAGGAGUGGUCCGGAAUGACCUAGAUCUGUAAAGGAGCGACGGCGGGACGUGCUGAGACGCUUACAGACAGAAAUACUGCUUAUUUUAGUGUUCCACAUGCAAUUUUACGUAAAAAGUUUUUAUUAGACUCACUGUAAUUCAUUGUUGGUCAUAUUUAGUAUUCAACCAAUAAAGGGCAUGAUAUCAGCUGCUGUAAUGUCUAUAUACUGUAUGUAAUACAACAAAAU